UACGUAGGCAGCAAACGUUGUUCGGAAUUACUGGGCGUAAAGAGUGUGUAGGCGGUUUUGUUAGUUUGGUGUGAAAUCUCCCGGCCUAACUGGGAGGGUGCGCCGAAUACUGCAAAGCUUGAGUACUGGAGAGGAUAGCGGAAUUCCUGGUGUAGCGGUGAAAUGCGUAGAUAUCAGGAGGAACACCGGCGGUGUAGACGGCUAUCUGGACAGUAACUGACGCUGAGACACGAAAGCGUGGGGAGCAAACAGG
rnacentral:rRNA from 1 species